UUGAGAAGGAAGGUACGUAAGACAACAUGGAGAAGGAGAACACUUUUUCAUUCUGAGACAUGAGAUGAAUAGGAAGAGCUUUUUCCUCUGGGACUUGAACUGAGAACAAAAGACUUUAUCCUUCUGGGACAUUGUUGAAUUAAGGUCCUCUCACAUGGUAUAUGGAAGUGGGAUGCACUGUUCUGCUACUGAAUUUUUAUCAAGGUGACACAAGAUAGGGUCAUCUUGGAAGAAAGAAUCUCCAUCCUCCAUCAGACUGUCUUGUGGGCAAAUCUGCCGGAUAUUUUCCUAAUUCAAGAUGGAUGUGGUACAAGGUUACUGUAUUAUUCAAAUGCUGCCUUCUUUCCCCUCACAUCUGGAUGAAAUCCUUGUUCUGAGAAUCACCUGUCUUGAGGUUAUAUAAACUCUGCUCCUCAAUAGUCCCAGGUAUGCCAAUGAGUCUGCUGACAGCCAAC